GGACCCGCACAAGCGGUGGAGCAUGUGGUUUAAUUCGAAGCAACGCGAAGAACCUUACCAAGUCUUGACAUCCUUCUGACCGGUCCGUAAUGGGACCUUUCCUUCGGGACAGAAGAGACAGGUGGUGCAUGGUUGUCGUCAGCUCGUGUCGUGAGAUGUUGGGUUAAGUCCCGCAACGAGCGCAACCCUUAUCUUCAGUAGCCAGCAUUUAAGAUGGGCACUCUGGAGAGACUGCCAGGGAUAACCUGGAGGAAGGUGGGGAUGACGUCAAAUCAUCAUGCCCCUUAUGACUUGGGCUACACACGUGCUACAAUGGCGUAAACAAAGGGAAGCAGCCCCGUGAGGGUGAGCGAAUCCCAAAAAUAACGUCCCAGUUCGGAUUGUAGUCUGCAACCCGACUACAUGAAGCUGGAAUCGCUAGUAAUCGCGAAUCAGAAUGUCGCGGUGAAUACGUUCCCGGGUCUU
rnacentral:rRNA from 1 species